rnacentral:lncRNA from 1 species
CUGGGGCACCAGGCGGGAGCAGAGGCCGAAGCAGCUCCUGCUGGUGGGCCACGAGGGGCGGGACCGGGGGCAGCUUCCUGGAGAAGGUGGCUUUGGAGCUCCUGGACAGUCCUGACGUCUUCCUCCGCCCGGCAGCGGAAAAGUCUGGGCUUAGUCGAAUUCCCACAUUCCAUGAACACGCCAGGUGAAGCCGGAGGGCGAGCGGCCCUGGAUCCCGGCUCCCACAGGAGGUGGCUCUGGAGUCCCAGAGUAUGAAGGACGGCCGUGUCGGGUGUCCCCCUGGACAAAGCAAAGGCACGGAAGGGAAGAAAGACUGGCCCUACCACCAAUGCUUGCUCUGUGGUUCUUGAUUCGGUGAGGCCAAAUCGCCGAGCCGGUGAAGACUCUGACGUGGAAGGUCUGGGGUGAGCCCUGGAAGGUGAAGCAGUGCGCCACUUAAAAUUCAGGAGAGCUGAGAGAAACCCACAACUCACUUUAAAAUGUUACAUUCUAAAGGAAAGACCUAAGGGUCUGCUGAAAGAAAUUUUAUUUCCUCUGCUCCCAGUUUAUAAAAAUAAAAGCAGU